CUAAGAAAUUCACGGCGGGCUUGAUGUCCGCGUCUACCUGGUUCACUGCCGUGUAGGCAG
rnacentral:misc_RNA from 2 species